ACAGGAAGUUCCACGCAGGCGCACAUCAUUCUUCACAAUAAAGGACACACCAGAAUUGUGCAGUCGAGACCACAACUUUUGUGUACGUUUCAAAUGUAUUACUACUGGCUCCGGUAUUUCCACGACACUCUCCUUCCACACUGAGUCCAAACCUACAGUCACUGGGUCCUGAUUGUGACAGUGGAGCCCAUUUUGAAUUGCAGGAUCCAGAGAGGGCAUCAGUGAAGCUGGAAGACUGCAGUCAAACACUGGAACUGAAUGCCAACAUUAAAGAUUAAGAAGUGGAGGAGAAGAUUGGGACAUCUGUUUCUCAUGUCAUAUUCAGGUCCUGAUUGGUCAACAAGCUUGUUUUUUGACACGCAAAGACCCAAACGGCGUUCCAUAGAAAUCCUGGUUGAGAAUGAAACAACUGAACAAAUGAACAAGGAAACAGCACAGCAAGUAAGUGAGGAAAUAGGUUUUGAUGAUGUUUUACUGGUAAUGGGGACAUAUGGAAAUGCCAACAAAAUAACUUUUUGGUGUGUUUGUGUAAACUUUUAUUUAACUGGGCAAGUCAUUUAAUAACAAAUUCUUAUUUACACUGAUGGCCUACCUCGGCCAAACCCGGACGACGCUGGGCCAGUUGUGCGCCGCCCAAUCAUGGCCGGAUGUGAUACAGCCAGGAUUUGAACCGGGGACUGUAGUGACGCCUCUUGCACCGAGAUGCUGUGCCUUAGACUGCUGCGUCCAUGUUUGUGUGUGUGUGUUAACUAUUUAACUACUAAAAUGCAUAAAAGGCCGCAAAAAAUGUCAAUAUCGGGUAUCGGUAGCUGUUUAUUUUGUCAAGGAAAAUAUCGGAAUGGGCAAAAAAUGUCAUAUCGGUGCAUCACUACUACUGACACUUGCAUGGUUUGACACCAGUAUUGCCAGCAUUUGUUUUAUUAACUGGGCUGUCUGGAGUGUUCAGAGAGGAGACUAAAGAAGUGAAGUGGACAAACUGCCAGUGUCUACUGUUUUGUUGU